UACGUAGGGAGCAAGCGUUGUCCGGAAUCAUUGGGCGUAAAGCGCGCGUAGGUGGCCAUGUAAGUCCGCUGUGAAAGUCAAAGGCUCAACCUUUGAAGCCGGUGGAUACUGCAUGGCUAGAGUACGGAAGAGGCGAGUGGAAUUCCUGGUGUAGCGGGUGGAAUGCGCAGAUAUCAGGAGGAACACCAAUAGCGAAGGCAGCUCGCUGGGACGUUUACUGACACUGAGGCGCGAAAGCGUGGGGAGCGAACAGG
rnacentral:rRNA from 1 species